UAAUUGAUUUAAAAAUUACGACAGUCUUGUUUUGUGCUCUACACAGUCCUGUACAUAUAUAUUUGCAACCAUGUUCUUAAUUGAAACAUUUUUUAAAUCGCUAUCUUGCUACGCUAAUGUUACAUUGCUGAUUUGCACAACAGUCCCGCAUUUCUCUGACUAGCCUUGAAUGGACUCCAUGGCAGCCAGCUAGCGAUGAUGUAUGAUGACGUAACCGAAACCAACCCUAGUCCUGACCACGC